UGACUAUCCAGUUCUUGGGUCAAUAGGCAACUUGGAGUUCGACCGUUUGGGAAUCAUGCAGAAGUUGGUGGAUUCAAAUGAUUGUUGAUAGGCUUGAGAAGGAAAGGGCUGCUAGCCUUGUAAACAAGGGUUAGACUGUUAAGAGUGUUAAGACACUGUCACUUGUAAAUGAAAGCCUUCCGAGUAGGACGACACGAGGAAUUGAUAUUAAGCUUGAUGAUCUCUAAUAGUGUCUUCUAGUAGCAGUAUGGUUAAUAUGAGACUCAUGCGGGAUAACUUUUCUACCAAAUUAGGUGUGUGAUUUCUUCUAAUCAUCUGGCCAUACAUUA
rnacentral:misc_RNA from 1 species